UGGCAAUGAGGACACAAAGGCCGGACUUACAGCUGCUCUGGUUACAAACCUGUUGGUAGUAGAAUGAUGUGGCACUUUGUGAGGUGUAACUGAGUCAG